rnacentral:rRNA from 1 species
GAUGAACGCUGGCGGCGUGCUUAACACAUGCAAGUCGAGCGAAGCACCUUGACGGAUUUCUUCGGAUUGAAGCCUUGGUGACUGAGCGGCGGACGGGUGAGUAACGCGUGGGUAACCUGCCUCAUACAGGGGGAUAACAGUUGGAAACGGCUGCUAAUACCGCAUAAGCGCACAGUACCGCAUGGUACGGUGUGAAAAACUCCGGUGGUAUGAGAUGGACCCGCGUCUGAUUAGGUAGUUGGUGGGGUAACGGCCUACCAAGCCGACGAUCAGUAGCCGACCUGAGAGGGUGACCGGCCACAUUGGGACUGAGACACGGCCCAAACUCCUACGGGAGGCAGCAGUGGGGAAUAUUGCACAAUGGGGGAAACCCUGAUGCAGCGACGCCGCGUGAGCGAUGAAGUAUUUCGGUAUGUAAAGCUCUAUCAGCAGGGAGGAAAAUGACGGUAC